AUUGAACGCUGGCGGCAGGCCUAACACAUGCAAGUCGAACGGUAACAGGAAGAAGCUUGCUUCUUUGCUGACGAGUGGCGGACGGGUGAGUAAUGUCUGGGAAACUGCCUGAUGGAGGGGGAUAACUACUGGAAACGGUAGCUAAUACCGCAUAACGUCGCAAGACCAAAGAGGGGGACCUUCGGGCCUCUUGCCAUCGGAUGUGCCCAGAUGGGAUUAGCUAGUAGGUGGGGUAACGGCUCACCUAGGCGACGAUCCCUAGCUGGUCUGAGAGGAUGACCAGCCACACGGGAACUGAGACACGGUCCAGACUCCUACGGGAGGCAGCAGUGGGGAAUAUUGCACAAUGGGCGCAAGCCUGAUGCAGCCAUGCCGCGUGUAUGAAGAAGGCCUUCGGGUUGUAAAGUACUUCCAGCGGGGAGGAAGGGAGUAAAGUUAAUACCUUGGCUCAUUGACGUUACCCGCAGAAGAAGCACCGGCUAACUCCGUG
rnacentral:rRNA from 1 species